rnacentral:lncRNA from 1 species
CGUGAUGCUCUGGACGGAUGUGGUACUGUGUAUCCAAAGGCACUGACAACGUCCAUGACUCACGUAGUCACAGGUCACAAGAACAGGGCUUCAAAUCACAAUAUCAACAAUUAUGAUGCUUUGGACGGGUACGGUACUGUGUAUCCAAAGGCACUGACAGCGUCCAUGACUCACAUAGUCACGGGUCACAAGAACAGGGCUUCAAAAGGAAAAGGAAAAUAAAUGAAAAAAAGUCAUAAGAUAGAGCCAAUCGGGAUUGAAAGCGUAAAUACAAACCAAAUCCA